GAUGAAGAACGCAGCGAAAUGCGAUAAGUAGUGUGAAUUGCAGAAUUCAGUGAAUCAUCGAAUCUUUGAACGCACAUUGCGCCCCUUGGUAUCCCGAGGGGCAUGCCUGUUCGAGCGUCAUUUCACCACUCAAGCCUGGCUUGGUGUUGGGCGACAUCCCCUUUAGGGACGCGCCUCGAAACGCUCGGCGGCGUGGCACCGGCUUUAAGCGUAGCAGAAUCUUUCGCUUUGGAAGUCGGGGCCCCGCCUGCCGGAAUACCUACUCGUAAGGUUGACCUCGGAUCAGGCAGGGAUACCCGCUGAACUUAAGCAUAUCAAUAAGCGGAGGA
rnacentral:misc_RNA from 1 species